UACGUAGGGUGCGAGCGUUGUCCGGAAUUAUUGGGCGGAAAGGGCUCGUAGGCGGUCUGUCGCGUCGGGAGUGAAAACUCAGGGCUUAACCCUGAGCCUGCUUCCGAUACGGGCAGACUAGAGGUAUGCAGGGGAGAACGGAAUUCCUGGUGUAGCGGUGAAAUGCGCAGAUAUCAGGAGGAACACCGGUGGCGAAGGCGGUUCUCUGGGCAUUACCUGACGCUGAGGAGCGAAAGCGUGGGGAGCGAACAGG
rnacentral:rRNA from 1 species